rnacentral:rRNA from 1 species
CUUUAUCUUAGUGGCGGACGGGUGAGUAACGCGUGGAUAACCUGGCCCAUACAGGGGGAUAGCAGCUGGAAACGGCUGGUAAUACCGCAUAAGCGCACGGUACGGCAUCGUACGGUGUGAAAAACUCCGGUGGUAUGGGAUGGGUCCGCGUCUGAUUAGGCAGUUGGCGGGGUAAAGGCCCACCAAACCGACGAUCAGUAGCCGGCCUGAGAGGGUGGGCGGCCACAUUGGGACUGAGACACGGCCCAAACUCCUACGGGAGGCAGCAG